rnacentral:rRNA from 1 species
AAUGAACGCUAGCGGCAGGCCUAACACAUGCAAGUCGAGGGGCAGCACAUAAAGUGGUUUACUACUUUUGGUGGCGACCGGCGGACGGGUGCGUAACGCGUAUGCAACCUGCCUCCAACAGGGGGAUAACGGAGAGAAAUUUCCACUAAUACCCCAUAAUAUCAGAAUCGGCAUCGGUUUUGGUUGAAAACUCCGGUGGUUGGAGAUGGGCAUGCGUUGUAUUAGAUAGUUGGUGAGGUAACGGCUCACCAAGUCAACGAUACAUAGGGGGGCUGAGAGGUUAGCCCCCCACACUGGUACUGAGACACGGACCAGACUCCUACGGGAGGCAGCAGUGAGGAAUAUUGGUCAAUGGGGGCAACCCUGAACCAGCCAUGCCGCGUGCAGGAAAACGGCUCUAUGAGUUGUAAACUGCUUUUACAAGGGGAUAAAUCGGUGUACGUGUACACCGUUGAAGGUACCUUGGGAAUAAGGAUCGGCUAACUCCGUGCCAGCCGCCGCCGUAA